AUAAUGAAAGGAUGCUGAAUACGGGAGAUUUAGAUAUUGGACAAUUUAGAUGCACGGAACAGGUUUCUGAGAUCCAACACCCAGAAACAGAUGAAUUGUAAUGCUUAUCUUGGCACUGGAAGCUCUUAAUCUCUUACAGUUCCACCCUUUCAGGGGUUCCUCCUAGCUUUGCUUUUUCUGCUAUUCAUUUUUUAGCUUUUAGCAAGCGCAAGACCAGCCAUUACUAAUCGGGAAGCCUAUCGCUGCACAAAGGACUCGUUCAAUGCCUUUUGAUGCCUCUCAUCUCUUCGCCACGUCACGGUUAGUCAUGUGUGUCGCAUGAUGUGUAAUUAGUGGCUCUGGGGCGAGAAAGUGUUGAGUUCCACAACCAUUCUCACACGAAAGUGCUGAGAAACAAUUCCAAAUAAGGCCACGUAAGACUGCUCUGAACCGAAAACUGCAGGGAAAAUGACUAUUGCCUUAAGAAACCCUCCCCAAAUAUUAGCCUUGGCCGGCCUGAUGGGAUCUGCCAGUUCACCUCUUCCUGGGUGGAUCAGAAACACACCUAGAAUGUCUUGGGAAUGGGAUCUGGGUGUUGGUGAGACAUUCAAAGGCACCCAUGGCUGUUAACCCUGAUGGGAAGUUUUCUCAGACAAGGUGGAGCUCCCACCAUCCAGACACACCUGCUCAAAUCUUCUCUUCCCCGGCCCUCCUUCUCCACCCAAUCCACGCAGGCAGCUCUUGGCACAAACAGCUGUGUUAGCAAAGCUGCAGCUGCUCGGUGGCUUGUGGGACAAGAAUCCCCACCCUUGUUCCUCCACCCUGCCCAAAUUGCUGAGCAAUGGCUUUUCCCAUUGUGGCCAAGUCCCUCUUCCGUCGUCUCGAGAAAAACCAAGCAGCCGGGGAGCUCGCUUUGAGCUUCUUGGACUGACAAUCUUGAUGAGCUGCUGUGGGUUUCCCCCCCCCGCCCUCUUUCUUUUUCAAAAUUUGGCAAGUCAACCCCACACUACUCCCUGCUAACUCUUCAACGCCUCUUAGCUUUGCAGCUGUGUAAAUGUAUACAGGUACCCCUCGAUGUACGACCGCAGUUGAGCCCAAAAGGGUUGGGGUUUCCCAUGUUGGCUGGAAAAUUCUGAGAACUGACGUCUACGUGUUUGAAAAUGGCCAAGAAACCCUGCUCUUCUGUAUACCUCUCCUUGAAUUAGUAGUAAAUGACACCAACAUUGGCUCUUGGCAUUGCCUAUCCUUAUCUCACUUCUAGCCGGUGCUUGGAUAUCCUUCCUGGAUCACAGGUGCCAAAUCUAACCAAUUUUACUCCUGUUGAGACUUUGGAAUUAAGGACAUUCUCUGGGGGACAUCCUCAGGGGUGUGGUUCGAAAAUUCAGGAUGGUGGUGGCCUCAACAGCUAAUUGAAACUCGGAGACAUAUUCGUAGCUGAGGGUUGACACGAGGGGUCCUUGGUGCUCUCUGAGCUUGGCUGCUUUCUUGCAGAUAUUUCAUGGCCCAAACUAGGUCACAUCAUCAGGACUAGCAGGAUUUAUAUAUAUUUAUUUACCUAGUUUUGGGCCAUGAAACGUCUGCAAGAAAAUCACCCAGCCCAGAGAGCUAAGGACCUCUCAGUUGAAGUUCUCCUUGCUUUGUGAGCAUUCGCUACAUGUAGAAAAACAAGCCGAGCGUUGAUCACCCCAACAGCUGCCUCCUGACCUUGACCACCCCAGCAGCUGCCCUCGGCUUUACCGUGCACCAUACCGUGAAGAUAUAUCCCUGGGAUGAAACCAAAUUGCUCUCAAAAGUCAGGAGCGAGAAAUGGCAAAACUCAUCCUGUUCCCGUGCGUUCUGGGCCCUGCCCACUGGGCUUCCGUACUUGCCAACGGGUUGCCCUUCCCAUGCCACAAAUAGCGUUAAUUCCUGCCCAUCAAGAUGUGCCCAUGUGCUGGCUUAGAACAGUAUGUAAACCAGCUGACGCAGGCAGAGAAAUAAAAGAUGAUGAUACUGGAUGGAGCUUAUCGUAUCUAAAAACGCCAUGGGAGAGGUGGGGGACACACAUUGCUUUAAUCUAGGUAAUUGCGCAGGUUGCGAAGCAGAUAAGAACACGAUUUUCCCAGUCCAGCAAUACACAUGUAGCCGAGAAAUCUUGAAAUUUCGAUCUGUAUCUCCAGGGGAGCCCUUCGGCAAUCCCUGCGUCUUUUUAUCCUCUUCUCACCUGGUUUAUGAAUAAACUCAAGACCCACUUCAUUCAAUUAACUUGAGAAGAGGUUGACUCCGGGAGAACUAAGCAGGGCACCACCCAGAACCUUAAGGAUUAUAGUUAAAUGAAUAAGCGGCUGGCUUAUCAUCCUACACACCAACAGUUUGUAGAUUCCUUCCUCUCCUGCACCUGUGAGCUAUUACUGAUUCGGUUGCGACACCGAAGAUGAUCAUUCAUCUUGUCCGUAUGUUUUGUGUUCAGCCCAACAGGAGCCUUUGCAAUAGAAUAACAGGCCCGCAUAAAGGACAGUUACUGCACUGAGUCAGCAGUUGCGUCCUUGUGAAACUUCCCCUACCAAUUUUCCCCUUUUGCAGUGAAGAAUCUUUAGUGAGUAAAGGCAUUUUUUUUCAAUCGGCCACGAGAUGGUUGGGAGGUAGGGUGAGGAGACUAUUGCAUCAGCUUCUCCAACAGCUUCUUUUGAAAAAAAUAAUAUAUAAGAUAGUUGCAAGAUCUUUGGAUAUUCGGAUACUUCCGAAAAGUGAAUAGUUAGCCCAUGCAUGAUAGUGAAUUUCAGAAAUUCAGAGGUAGAGAGAAGAUGGCCAGUGACUGUGUGGUUCUACAGAGGUUAGGGGAGUAAGAGAUGAAAUAAGGGAAGGAUCAUUUGAGAAUGUCAUGCUGUUUUCUAGCCCCCAUUUCAUUUUUUGGUAAGGUUUAAGCAGAAGCAGGGAUGAAAUCCAGCCGGUUCUAUCCGGCUCGGGCAAACAGGUAGCGGUGGCUGUAGAAGGCUCCGUCCACCCAUGCGGAUGUCAUGUUGCUUUGCGACAUUUUAAGCCUCUGCGCAUGUACAGGCUUUGCGCAUGUGCAGAUGAUGGCGUGCACACAUUGGCGAACCGGUAGGGAAGGUAAGUAAAUUUCACCUCUGUGCAGAAGACCUCCCUGGCACAUAUGCACCCAUUAAACACCAGCUUCCCCAAGUUCUAGCAUAAAAGUAAGCCAUCUUUUCAGCUACAAGGAUUAUAUAAAUUGAUAUAUGUGUAUGUUGCUUCCAGACAAACAUGUGCAACACGUUAUCCCAUCUGGGCACCUUGCUAGAACUCACCCCAUCUCCUUUCUCGUAUCCUCAAGCACCUGUCCUGCCUUUAUGGUUGUUCUUAAUAGAGUAGCAGGCGGACAUCUUCUCCAGCCUGCCUGAAGAAUACCAGAACAUCGACUGCUUUCUUCUAUCGAGCCAGGCCAUUGGCUCAUCUAAUCCAGGUUGGCGGAGGAAUUCUGGGAGUUGGAGUUUGCAAGUCUUAAAAGUUGCCAAGUUUGGAGACCCCCUGAUCUCAAUUCAAAACCAUUUGCAGGCUUUUAAGGGGAAAAGAAAUCUCCCAGGCUGCCUGGAGACGUUAGGGAGUAGACUUGGGAGCUUAUGCAUGUAAUCCUGAGCCAUCAAGAUGAAAUGUCCCAGUUCUUAACUGCCUGAAGUGAGGCACACCCUUUUCAGUUUCACACAAGCCAAAGCUGCCAACAUUAUUGUCUGUGUGUGUGUAUGCUUUAUAAAGCAAACAUGUAAAGCAAGGGUCUCCAACAGUGAUGGGUUUCAAAAAUUUUUACUACCAGUUCUGCGGGUGUGGCUUGGUGGGCAUGGCAAGGCUUGGUGGGCGUGGCUUGGUGGGCAUGGCAGGGGAAGGAUACUAUCAAAUCUCCAUUCCCUCCCCACUCCAGAAGGCUACUGCAAAAUCCCCAUUCCCUCCCGAUAAACUGGGACUCCAGAGGCAGAGAAUAGAUGGGGGCGGGGCCAGUCAGAAUUGUUACUACCGGUUCUCCGAACUACUCAAAAUUUCCACUACCAGUUCUCUAGAACUGGUCAGAACCUGCUGAAACCCACAUCUGG